rnacentral:rRNA from 1 species
GGAUUAGAUACCCUGGUAGUCCACGCCCUAAACGAUGACAACUAGCCGUUGGGGGUAUUAGAAACCUUUAGUGGCGCAGCUAACGCGAUAAGUUGUCCGCCUGGGGAGUACGGCCGCAAGGUUAAAACUCAAAGGAAUUGACGGGGGCCCGCACAAGCGGUGGAGCAUGUGGUUUAAUUCGAUGCAACGCGAAGAACCUUACCUGCCUUUGACAUUGAUAGAACCCUCCAGAGAUGGAGGGGUGCCUUCGGGCCUUGAAAACAGGUGCUGCAUGGCUGUCGUCAGCUCGUGCCG